UGUGGCCAAGUUACUAAGGGCACAUGGGGGAUGUCUUGGCGUCAGAAGCCGAUGAAGGGCGUGGAAGACUGCGAUAAGCCCGGGGUAGUUGUCAAACGAGCGUUGAUCCCGGGAUACCCGAAUUAACACACACUGAAUCCAUAGGUGUGUGUCGCCAACACGGUGAACCGAAACAUCCAAGUAACCGUUGGAAAAGAAAGAAAACUCGAUUUCCCCAGUAGCGGCGAGCGAAAAGGAAAGAGCCCAAACCGCGGGGGUUUUCCCCUGCGGGGUUGUAGGGCCUCUCACAUGAGAGUUACCAAGCUACCAGCUAGCAGAACUGUCUGGAAAGGCAGGCCAUAGACGGUGACAGCCCGGUAUGCGACAGUUGUGUAGCCUCUCGAGGGGUACCUGAGUAGGUCGGGCCACGUGGAAUCCCGACUGAAUCCGCGGGGACCAUCCCGCAAGGCUAAAUACUCUCUGACGACCGAUAGUGAACUCAGUAGGGCGACUGAAAGAUGGGAAGAACCCCUGCUAGGGGAGGAUACUGAACCUGAAACCAUGUGCCUACAAGCGGUCGGAGCACAGUACUCUUCGGAGUCGUGUGACGGCGUGCCUUUUGCAUAAUGAUCCGGCGAGUUACCGUCGUCGGCUUGGUUAAGGCCUUUCGGGCCGGAGCCAAAGGGAAACCGAGUCUUAAUAGGGCGAAUAUGUCGUUGGCGGUAGGCGCGAAUCUGCGUGAACUACCCAUGAGCAGGUUGAACCGCGGGUUAUACCGCGUGGAGGACCGAACCCACUUGGGUUGAAAACCGAGGGGAUGACUUGUGGGGAGGAGUGAAAGUCUAAUCAAACGCAGGGAUAGCUCGUUCUCUCCGAAAUAUUUUUAGGAAUAGCCUCGAGCCACUACGCACCGGGGGUAGAGAUACUGAAUCGGGUUGGGGGUCCUCCCAGACUACCCUCCUGAACCAAACUCCGAAUACCGGUGCGACUAUCUCAGGAGUCAGUCCGUGAGGGAUAAGCUUCGCGGACGAGAGGGAAACAACCCAGACCACCUGCUAAGGUCCCGAAGAUAUGCUUAGUCACUAAGGAAGUUGAAUUGCCGAGACAGCCAGGAUGUUGGCUUAGAAGCAGCCACCAUUUAAAAAGUGCGUAACAGCUUACUGGUCGAGCAACCCUGCGCCGAUAAUGAACGGGAGUAAGCCCGUCACCGAAGCAGUGGAUUGUCCGUAAGGACAGUGGUAGGAGAGCGCUGUAGAUCAGAUACAGGCCGUACCGUAAGGAGCGGUUGUGGGGUCUACAGGUGCUUAUGCCGGAAUGAGUAACGAUAAAGCAGGUGAGAAUCCUGCUCGCCGAAAGCCUAAGGUUUCCUGGGGAAGGUAAUUCCGCCCAGGGUUAGCCGGUACCUUAGUCGAGGCCGAAAGGCGUAGACGA
rnacentral:rRNA from 1 species